rnacentral:rRNA from 1 species
UACGUAGGAUGCUAGCGUUGUCCGGAUUUACUGGGCGUAAAGCGCGCGCAGGCGGCACUGUAAGUAAGGUGUGAAAUCUCCCUGCUCAACGAGGAGGGUGCACUUUAGACUGCAGAGCUAGAGGACGGUAGAGGGGGGUGGAAUUGCUGGUGUAGCGGUGAAAUGCGUAGAGAUCGGGAAGAACAUCGGUGGCGAAGGCGCUCUACUGGACCACAACUGACGCUUAGGGACGAAAGCUAGGGGAGCGAAUGGG